UCCUGGUACGCUAACUUGGUAGAGCGCUCCACUGAAAAUGGAGAGGUUCCUAGUGCAAUACCAGGACCAGGCG
rnacentral:tRNA from 1 species